rnacentral:tRNA from 2 species
CGGGGAGUAGCUCAGCUUGGUAGAGCACUUGGUUUGGGACCAAGGGGUCGCAGGUUCGAAUCCUGUCUUCCCGAUCA